rnacentral:lncRNA from 12 species
UCCUGUCAUUCCUUCCAACUAAACAAAUGGAGCCACAAGAUCAGGAUCUGUCAGAAGUCCUGGACGGCCUGGAUCAUUUUCUCCCAUUUUUGCCUAAGGCUCAGGAAAAUCGCCCCAGGCUGGAUCAUAGGGUACUGGGAGCAGUCCACAUCUGGAUCAGAUUGUUCCAGGGCCAGGGUCUCCAGUGACUUGACGUCUAUUCUAUGUAUCUCUUUAUAAUUGCUUUUACAUUCAGGAAAGAAUAUAACUCAAGAACACACUGCAGAAGGAACACAUUAGUAUCAGGAAUCUCUAUCAGUCGUCCUUAAAUGCCAUGGUGCUGGUGAUGGAUGAUACUCACAUGCACGACACAUGACAGCCUCCCAUGGGUAUCCUUGAUUGGCUCAGGGCUAUAGGCAAUCCCUGGCUUCUGGAGGUUUUAAGCCCACCCCUUUUCCUUCCUUAUAGGGUAGGCUCUCAGAAUGAAAGUGACUGACAUUAUCAUAGUUAUCUGCUCUAAUUGAUUCACCACUCAUUUUAAAACCUCAGUAGUUCAUGAGUAAUAGCAAAUUGCCUAUGACACACCUUAUAGCUGCUCCAGACGUGCAGCAUGUCAGGCCACUCCUGUGGAAGAACUGCUGGUCCAGAUGAUGCCAGGGCAACCAGUUGUGAAAUGAAAAAUUGUUUUGAUUAACCAGUUGUUUUAUCUAUACUGUGCCAAAGAAUUGAUCGGAGAGGACAUUUUGUCCACACUAACUGAAUUGGCUAGUGGUCUUGGCAUUGUGUACACCCGCCUGGGUAUAAAGAAUGUGAGCAUAAUACCAAAUCACAGAAUGUUGGACUGGAAGGAAUCUCUGGAGACAUUUUCAGACAUUCCCCUCAUGUUACAGAUGAGGAAACUAAGGAACAGCCAGGCUUAAAGAUUUGCUAAGGGGCAUGCAGCACAAUUGUUAACUAUUGUUUUAGAAAAGAGGUACGUGCGGGCACGUCUUCACCCACAGCAUUUUUAACAUUUUCUGUAGCUAUUUCAGAAUCAAGACACUCAACUGAAUGGUAUUGCAUACUUUCUAAAAGUAGACAAGAAUUUGAGAAACACCCCAUGGUGCAAUUGUUCAUUGCUUAAACUUGCUGCUGACUCACUUGCCUUACACCACUUCUUUACCAACCUCGGUCAUGGCAUCUGUCACUUAACAUUGGUUUAGGUUUUUU